UGCCAGCAGCCGCGGUAAUACGGAGGGUGCAAACGUUGCUCGGAAUCACUGGGCGUAAAGGGCGCGUAGGCGGUCUGAUAAGUAGGAUGUGAAAUCCCCCGGCUUAACCGGGGAACUGCGUUCUAAACUGUCAGGCUUGAGUGAGAUAGGGGUGUGCGGAACUUCCGGUGGAGCGGUGAAAUGUGUUGAGAUCGGAAGGAACACCAGUAGCGAAGGCGGCACACUGGGUCUUAACUGACGCUGAGGCACGAAAGCCAGGGUAGCGAACGGGAUUAGAUA
rnacentral:rRNA from 1 species